CUGCCUUCCCCAUGACAACAACUCGGCCAAUGGGCUGCAGCCAAUCAGGGAGUGACAUGUCCUAGGCGGAGGAUAAUUCUCCUUAAAAGGGACAGGGUUUUGCCAUUCUCUCUCUCUUGCUCUCUUGCUCCUGAAGAUGGUAAGCAAUAAAGCUUUUGCCGCAGAAGAUUCUGGUUUGUUGCGUCUUUCCUGGCCGGUCGUGACCGCGUGUAAGAGAAAGAAGAAAUGACUUUAAUGCAGCCAGAAAUCUCAAAGGAGUCAGCAGAUCCCAGCGCCGCCUCCCUGCUCACAAGCACAGCAAUUAAACCCAGGACCUGGUGUACACUAUUGAGCAAGCCACUGAGCUGUCCUGCCCCGCCUUAGACCCCCAUCUCAGCCUCCCAGAUGCUGAGGAUACAGGGUCUACAAGCUGUUGAGUUUGGCUUGGCUGCAGUUACCUCUGGGCCUCACUGAAGAAGGACAGGCUUCAAAGCUCACCUAGUUCUUGUCUGAUGGCUUCAAAUUUGAGAUCCUCCUGCUUCAACUUCUGAGAACUGGAA
rnacentral:lncRNA from 1 species